UUCCAAAUGGCGCGAGCAUCGUAUAUGGUUGUUCUAAAAUCAAGGCUAAAAAUGUAUGCCAAGCUAUUCUAGCUUUCCGCUUCGGAAUUGAAUCAGAAUCAGUGUUUCGCUCUUCGGUCUUUAUUUGGCAAAUACUUAGAAGCAGAAGCUUGUCACGUUUCUGACUCUGAAGUUCGUCCGUUCGGUCACUAUCCGAUUAUUUUCUGCCUAAUCGCUCUCGGGUGUGUUCAGUUGCAGUAGAUUUGUUCUUGCUGCACACAAGGCUUGGAACGUGGCUGUUCUGUUCUUUGUAAUAGCUUGUAGCAAAUAGUAUCGCUAGUAACUCGCUUACUCCUGUGGACUGUCACGAAACAUUCAGCGAACAUUCAUGUACUGUUGGUGUAGUAGCUGUUACACAUGCUUUGGUGUAUCGAUUCAAGUGUGCAUAAGUUGGCGUGCAAGUUGUGGUAGAUGUGUGUAGAUAAUGUGCGUGAAACUUACUGUGCUGGAAAGCGGUGCUAUUCCUUUUAUCGGUCUUUAGCGAGCGGUACUCAUUCUUGCCGACAUUCCGGGGUGGAGGUUAGCGAUACAACGCUGAUGUAAAUUUUUGUGAAAACUUUUUUUUUUUUUUUAUCUACCAGGAAACUCGUUUAUUGUGAAGGGCCAGAAACAGAGGCUGCUCGUAUGUAGCAACAGUCCGUGAACUAGGACAUAUAUUCAUUACAUUCCUUAAUAUGCCAGUCACUAUUUUUGCAGCCAACUACUGCAAACGUCUCCAAUCCACCGCUCCACAUUUUACAGCAUGAAUGGAGCACAGUGCUUGAGCGAAAACCCAGUUGCAUUUUCGACAGCUGAUUGCACGGAAACAAGACAGAAGCGGUAAUGGUUUCGUAUUCGUGCGCUUUCGCUGAGGCAAUGUAUGGCAUGCCACCGAAAGCACCAUCUCGUUUCUUGAAAACAAAUUGCUCCGCAAAAAGGGUCAAUAGACAUCCUUGGCCAAAUCUCCGUAACGGAUGUGCCAAGGUGACCAAUAUUAAAUAUAUUAAAGCUAUAGUGCCCCAUCCGUAGCAGAUACCUCCGCGUCCAGCAUGCCUGCUUCAUUUUUGAUUCUCAAUGAAGUAUGCAUUGAACUUUUUUCCCGAGUCUACCAAAGCACGAAACAGACGCCAACAAGAACAAACUAGAGUGCCUGAACAUGGCAUGAAUUUAAUAGCCUUUGAUCCUUGAUUUUAUCUGGGCUCAAGCAUGCUCACACAUGCCUUUGUGACAGUGAUCAAUAUACAAAAAGCCGACCUCACCUAACAAACUUUCUAGUGCAACUGUUGAUUGCUUUUUCCCAGAGGGUCAUAGCUGUAGUGGCAACAAAAAUGUGUAAUAAUUAGAGCUACAAUCAUUUCACCUUUUUCGAUAAUUUUUUAUGCAGAUCCUGUAUAUGUGGCUACCUUCAACAUCGGCAUGUUUAAAGCACGUCGACGCUUCUGAGUCGUGGCAACUAGGGCCAUUGGAGACUUCCCACCAAAAAAAAUAAGCUGAAUGCACUUGGAAAGCACAUGUCCAGAGGUGGAGGGAAAAGUUGCUCGUUGCCAUCACCCAAACUGCCACCGCCUCCUCCCCGCCGGAAACCACCACCUCGAAGACCAUGGCAACAUCCUCCCUCGGAACAGGCUGGCUGCCGAUGGGAAUCAUGGCUGGCAGCAGCAAUGCCAGAAUCUAAAAUUUUUAAUUAUCGUAAAAAUUUUUAAUUAUCGGUGUGAGAGAGGCCCAGCGCUUCUUCGUAUCUUCGUCGCUCUUGGCAAGCAGCUUGUCCCAGUUGAGCAAAGGCGGCGGUUCUUCGCUUUUGCUGGAGCAUGCUGGUUCUUCCGGCGGAUGGACGAUCGCGUCGAUGAGCUCGCGGGCCUUGCGACACGCCUCUUCGGGGUCCGAGAGCUUGAUCUUGGUCUCGAAGUAAUUAUCUGCGUCGUCUUUCUUGACCCAGAUGUACGCACCACUGGAAUCCUGAAGCUCGUGGAUCCUGGAACCUCCUUUGCCAAUGAUCCUGGCGACAUCUUUGACUGGCACCACGAUCACUUCAGCAUCUGGGCGCGAUGCAUUGGGUCGUUGAUAGUUACCCAGGCCAUGGCCCCGACCAGACGUGCCGCGGGUGCCUCCUUUGCCGUAACACCCGAGUUUUGAAGUCGGCUGCGAAGGCAGAGGAGCGUAUUCAUCCUCGAUCCACUCUUUAUCUCUAUUCUUCGAAGCAGCAUCCACAAGAGUGGAGACAGCGUUCCCUGGCCGAUGGACGGUUGUGGUGUGAAGCUCGUCAGAUGUGGGCCUUGUGGCGGACGGACUACAACCAACACAAGUGCCUAAAGACUUCAUAGUCGAGAAACGUCAUUCACAAAACCUGGGCACUUGUAGAUAUGCAUGCUGCCACCAACACCUCUUUAACAAAAAUAUAUCACAACAUGUAUAAAAUAAACGAGUUCAAUUGCAUGCCAUA